AUUGAACGCUGGCGGCCUGCCUUACACAUGCGAGUCGAACGGCAGCACGGGAGCAAUCCUGGUGGCGAGUGGCGAACGGGUGAGUAAAGUAUCGGAACGUGCCCAGUCGUGGGGGAUAACGUAGCGAAAGUUACGCUAAUACCGCAUACAAUCUAUGGAUGAAAGCGGGGGAUCGCAAGACCUCGCGCGAUUGGAGCGGCCGAUAUCAGAUUAGGUAGUUGGUGGGGUAAAGGCUCACCAAGCCGACGAUCUGUAGCUGGUCUGAGAGGACGACCAGCCACACUGGGACUGAGACACGGCCCAGACUCCUACGGGAGGCAGCAGUGGGGAAUUUUGGACAAUGGGCGAAAGCCUGAUCCUGCCAUGCCGCGUGCAGGAUGAAGGCCUUCGGGUUGUAAACUGCUUUUGUACGGAACGAAAAGGUUUGGCCUAAUAAGCUGAGCUCAUGACGGUACCGUAAGAAUAAGCACCGGCUAACUACGUGCCAGCCGCCGCGGUAA
rnacentral:rRNA from 1 species